CCUACGGGUGGCUGCAGUAGGGAAUAUUGCUCAAUGGGGGAAACCCUGACGCAGCAACGCCGCGUGGAGGACGAAGGUUUUAGGAUUGUAAACUCCUUUUGUCAGGGAAGAUAAUGACGGUAUCUGACGAAUAAGCACCGGCUAACUCCGUGCCAGCAGCCGAGGUAAUACGGAGGAUGCGAGCGUUAUCCGGAUUUAUGGGUUUUAAAGGGUGCGCAGUCGGAGGUGCAAGUCAGCUGUCAAAUUGCGGGGCUCAACCCCGUACUGCAGUUGAAACUGCAUACCUUGAGUGCGCGAGAGGUAUGCGGAAUGCGUGGUGUAGCGGUGAAAUGCAUAGAUAUAACGAAGAACUCCGAUUGCGAAGGCAGCAUGCCGGCGCGCAACUGACGCUGAUGCACGAAAGCGUGGGUAUCGAACAGGAUUAGAUACCCGGGUAGUC
rnacentral:rRNA from 1 species